rnacentral:rRNA from 1 species
CCUACGGGAGGCAGCAGUGAGGAAUAUUGGUCAAUGGGCGCAAGCCUGAACCAGCCAAGUCGCGUGAGGGAAGACGGCCCUACGGGUUGUAAACCUCUUUUGUCGGAGAACAAAACCCGGGACGUGUCCCGGACUGCGUGUAUCCGAAGAAAAAGCAUCGGCUAACUCCGUGCCAGCAGCCGCGGUAAUACGGGGGAUGCGAGCGUUAUCCGGAUUUAUUGGGUUUAAAGGGUGCGUAGGCGGUCCGUUAAGUCAGAGGUAAAAUUCCGGGGCUCAACCCCGUCGAGCUGUUGAAACUGGCAGACUUGAGUGGGCGAGAGGUACGCGGAAUGCGUGGUGUAGCGGUGAAAUGCAUAGAUAUCGCGCAGAACUCCGAUUGCGAAGGCAGCGUACCGGCGCCAGACUGACGCUGAGGCACGAAAGCGUGGGGAUCGAACAGGAUUAGAUACCCCUGUAGUC